UUGAUGUGGUUGUGGGAGGCGGC
rnacentral:miRNA from 1 species